UUAACUACAGAUUAUUAGAAGAUUAAUGAAAUUACUUACAAAUUAAUCUUCUAAUUACCUACAGAAGAAACUAAUUAAAAGAUUAACUACAGAUUACCUACAGAUGAACUACAGAUUAUUAGAAGAUUAACUACAGAAGAAACACAGAUUAUUAGAAGAUUAACUACAGAAGAAACACAGAUUAUUAGAAGAUUAACUACAGAAGAAACUAAUUAAACUAAUUAGAAGAUUACAUACUGAAGAUUAACUACUAGAAGAAACUAUCAAACGACCUACGUAGUAAGGCAGACGACCAGAUCCAGAAGAUUACCUACAGACGGAGUAGUGGACUGUGGACGGUCGACCAGCCAGAGACAAACAGACGGACCUGGCACACCGCACACGACCAGCAACGAUCGACGAGCAGGUGAGCAGACGGCGAGCGAGCGACUUGGCGUCGUUGGCGACGGCAGAGGAGAGGAGGGCGGGGUCGGUAGUCGCCUCACGGAGUAGAAUGAGAGAGGAGAGGAGGGCGGGUUCGGCAGUCUGAUACUGAUAGGGACCUAAAGUUAACUUCUUAAGUCAAUUUUAAUUUUAAAAUUGAGAUAAGGGUCAAAUAGGCCGUUAAAGUAUAACAAAAAAAAAGUAAUUGGACCUUCAAUAUAUAAAAAAUUUUAAAAUUGAGAUAAGGGUUAAAUAGGUCCUUAAAGUAUAACAAAAAAAAGUAAUUGGACCUUCAAUAUAUAAAAUGUUUUAAUUAAACCUUUUAACUUGUUAUAUUAAUACAAUUUACCUAUUUUACCUGUAACCUUCAUGUUAAUGUUGAUAUAGCAGUCACGUGGAUUUGAAAAGAAAUUACCUAUAAUGAUGUGGACUACAUUUAAAAUAUAUUUAAUAUAUAUUAUUAUUAAAACUAAAUAAGUAAAAUAAAUAAAUAAAACCCUAAACUAAUCCCUAAUCCCAAAUUUUCCGUCUUCUUCAUCGUCGAUGUUGUCCAUUUCCGGUCGGUGCACGAGGAUGUGAUUCUUGAGCCUUUGGAUGUCGUCCCAGUAGGGAGGAACUCCAGGACCAGCACAGAGUCGUCGUCCUCGCUCCAAAGAACUCGUGCAUUACGACAACGUUUGGGCAGUUCUGGAGGGUCUGCAAGGCUUCGAUUUCGCGGAGGGCCGACUGGUGAUUGUGGUUUUCCUUCAAGGCGACGGUGAGUUGAGUUCUCUCUCUCCUCAUUGUUUCAUUAUAAGUGGCGAUGCUUACGGCGGUUCACAAUGGUCCUCGUCGGCUAGGGGAAUGAUUCUUUGUCCGGUCGUCGGUGUUUUGAUGUUUUUCAUGUUGUCCCAGAACAGUGCUUCCAGUCCAUUCGGAUCUCUGAUCAAUGCUUUGUCGUAUGACGACAGAAAUUCAGGUUGUAACGACACAGAAGAUGUUUUCUUGUCGCCGAGACUAGAGAAGAUUCCCAGGCCUUCAUGAAACCGAAGGUGCUACUAGUGUCGCCGGUAGCAUGAUGGUUGGUCACGCCGAUGCAAAUCCUGACGUCCGGGAAUAGCGUCACUUGU